rnacentral:rRNA from 1 species
AUGGCCUUGGUUCAAAAGUAUGGGAAGCCAGACAUUUUUUUAACCAUGACUUGCAACCCUAAUUGGGAUGAAAUAAUUAGUGAGCUAGAGCCUGGACAAACUCCACAGGAUCGUCCUGAUCUCAUUGUAAGAGUAUUUCGAGCAAAGUUGGAAGACCUCAAGGUACAACUUUUUAAAAGGCACAUUCUUGGUAAGGUGGCAGCAUAUGUAUAUGUUGUUGAGUUCCAGAAAAGAGGUCUACCGCAUGCUCAUUUCCUCCUAAUCAUGGAGGGGAGGUACAAGCUAACAUGCCCAGAGCAAUAUGACUGUCUCAUAUCUGCUGAAUUGCCAGACAAAUACAAGUACCCUGAGUUGUAUAAAAUGGUCGUCAAGCACAUGAUGCAUGGCCCUUGUGGAGUCCUAAACCCCAAGAACGUGUGCAUGCAGAAAGGUAGCUGCAAGAACUACUAUCCAUGA